GUGUUAUAUGAAAGGAGAGAAGGUUGGCACACCCUUGACAAGGAUGGAGGCAAUUGGGAAGCAUGUGCUUAAGGCACUGCCACCUACUUUGUGGCAACUAGCCACUGUUUAGA
ensembl:snRNA